UGGCUGAGUGGUAAAGCGCUCGGCUUCUGAACCGAGGGGGUCCCGGGUUCGAAUCCUGG
rnacentral:tRNA from 1 species